AAAGAGAUCGAGAGGGUGGCUCCCCGGAGGAGGGCCUUCUCUGCGGUGGCACCCCGAUCGUGGAACACGCUCCCCGAGAGGGUGCCAACAGGAAAGAA